rnacentral:rRNA from 1 species
GUGGAGCCCGUAGGGCGAAGUACCGGAUUUCACGCUGCCAAGAAAAGCCUCUAGUGAGGAGGUCGGCGCCAGUACCGUAAACCGACACAGGUAGGCGAGAUGAGAAUUCUAAGACGCGCGGGAUAACUCUCGUUAAGGAACUCGGCAAAAUGGUCCCGUAACUUCGGGAGAAGGGACGCUUAUGGCGACAUAAGCCGCAGUGAAUAGGCCCAAACGACUGUUUAGCAAAAACACAGGUCUCUGCUAAAUCGCAAGAUGAAGUAUAGGGGCUGACGCCUGCCCGGUGCUGGAAGGUUAAGGGGAUGUGUCAUCGCAAGAGAAGCACUGAACCGAAGCCCCAGUAAACGGCGGCCGUAACUAUAACGGUCCUAAGGUAGCGAAAUUCCUUGUCGGGUAAGUUCCGACCCGCACGAAAGGCGUAACGAUUUGGGCACUGUCUCAACGAGAGACCCGGUGAAAUCAUAGUACCUGUGAAGAUGCAGGUUACCCGCGACAGGACGGAAAGACCCCAUGGAGCUUUACUACAGCCUGAUAUUGAGGCUUUGUACGCGAUGUACAGGAUAGGUGGGAGUUUGUGAAGCCGGAGCGCCAGCUUCGGUGGAGACACCCUUGGGAUACCACCCUUUGCGUAUAGAGUCUCUAACUCGCAGCCGUGACCCGGCUGGAGGACCGUGUCAGGUGGGUAGUUUGACUGGGGCGGUCGCCUCCUAAACAGUAACGGAGGCGCCCAAAGGUUCCCUCAGAAUGGUUGGAAAUCAUUCGAAGAGUGCAAAGGCAGAAGGGAGCUUGACUGCGAGACCUACAAGUCGAGCAGGGACGAAAGUCGGGCUUAGUGAUCCGGUGGUUCCGCAUGGAAGGGCCAUCGCUCAACGGAUAAAAGCUACCCUGGGGAUAACAGGCUGAUCUCCCCCAAGAGUCCACAUCGACGGGGAGGUUUGGCACCUCGAUGUCGGCUCAUCGCAUCCUGGGGCUGGAGUAGGUCCCAAGGGUUGGGCUGUUCGCCCAUUAAAGCGGUACGCGAGCUGGGUUCAGAACGUCGUGAGACAGUUCGGUCCCUAUCCGUCGUGGGCGCAGGAAAUUUGAGGAGAGCUGUCCUUAGUACGAGAGGACCGGGAUGGACGCACCGCUGGUGUACCAGUUGUUCCGCCAGGAGCAUCGCUGGGUAGCUACGUGCGGACGGGAUAAGUGCUGAAAGCAUCUAAGCAUGAAGCCCCCUCCGAGAUGAGAUUUCCCUUUGAGCAAUCAAGAAAGACCCCUCAGAGACGAUGAGGUAGAUAGGUCAUGGGUGGAAGCACGGCGACGUGUGGAGCUGAAUGAUACUAAUCGGUCGAGGCUUUGAUCUA